GAGACACAGCGGGCGUCAGCCGGUCCGGGUUCGUAAGCGGCGUCCGGCCCGGGGCGGCGCGGCUGCGGCUGCUGGUGCGCGGAGCUGCCCCGGUUCACGGAGCUGCCCCCAUCGCACCGCACGGAGCUGCUCCAUCGCACGGCGCUGCUCCAUCGCACGGAGCUGCCCCGGUUCACGGAGCUGCUCCCAUCGCACCGCACGGAGCUGCUCCCGGCGCACGGAGCUGCUUCCAUCCCAUCGCACCGUCCUGCCCCCAUUGCACGGAGCUGCCCUCCAUCGCAUCGCACAGAGCUGCCCUGCUUCACGGAGCUGCUCCAUUGCACGAAGCUGCUCCGGGCGCACGGAGCUUCCCCCAUCGCACGGAACUGCUCCGGGCGCACGGAGCUGCUCUCAUCGCAUCGCACGGAGCUACUCUCAUCGCACGGAGCUGCUGCAUCGUACGGAGCUGCUCUCAUCGCACGGAGCUGCUCCAUCGCACCGCACGGAUCUGCUUCCAUCGCACCGCACGGACCUGUCCCCAUCGCACCUAGCUGCUCCAUCGUACGGAGCUGCCCCCAUAGCAUUCCGCCCGCCACCCCUUACCACCUGGUCAGCCCUUGCAGCUGCCGGCUGAGAUCAACCCAGCCCAUCGGAUCACUUAAGUCAGGAGGUUUCAUACUUUACAGGAGGAUCUAGCCCUGCAGACAGGAUUCAACUCAAAUGAAAGGAAGUUCUCAUGCUAAUGGCAAAUUGGGGUGACCCUCCAUUCCUCUGAGUCUUUCCGUCUGAGUCAGCUGUUCCAGUUCUCCUCUAUGGAUCAGAGCACCUGACAUAGAAGCGCAGGAAUAGAGCAGUGCUUCAAAACCAUGGUCUGUUAUUAAUGCCUGGCUAAGUGAGAAAAUGCACACAUAUUAAUCCUUGUUUUGCUUUGGUAAAAAUAUUAAAAGAAAGCAUAAACAUGAGUCUGAGCAAUAUGAUUGCAUGCUGCCUUGUCCUUGCUACCACAGACUGAAGGGACAUAGUACAAACUGUGCCAGUUAUAAUUCUGCUCUGAUAGGCCAGGAAGCACCAGGAACAGGCCAGGAAGCACCAGGAACAGGCCAGGAAGGACAGCUAUCUGGUGCUAUCUGGUGCUAUCUAGUGCAGAGCAGAGCUCAGUGCUGUGUGGUGGAUAUUGCACCUUUCAUACCUGCAUCAUUUACCUACAUUUUAAAGCUCCUAGGAAAGGUCAUGAUGUAAAUAUUUCUGUGCAUUCAGACAAUGUUAAACCCUUGCAAGCAGGACAGGAAGUUCCUUCUAUGGAACAUGUCUGGAAAUAACUGGAAUGAGGUUUGUUUUUUGUAUUUGUAUUAAGGCCCUGUCUCUACAAAAGGAACCAACAUUUUCUUUGUAUUUAAGGAGAUGUUUCUGACUACACUGUAAAUAGCAGUUGAAACAAGGAGGUAGUGUGAGUUGAUUUGACUAGAACUAGGAAAAAGAGCCACCUCCUUCUAAGAUCCUCAGAAAAAAGAAUUAUUGCAAAAAAUAUUGCAUCCUGACUGAUCAAAUUAACAUAAUAUUGGUCUGAGUGCGGCAUUUGCUCUUGUCUUUUUAUGUGCAUAUCAAGGCUUUAGAGAGGGAUAAAAAUGCUAGUUGUGACAUAAUCAGGGUUUCUAAAAGCAUAUCUAUACAACUGCUACAC
rnacentral:lncRNA from 1 species